AUACGUAGGGUGCGAGCGUUGUCCGGAAUUACUGGGCGUAAAGAGCUCGUAGGUGGUUUGUCGCGUCGUCUGUGAAAUUCCGGGGCUUAACUCCGGGCGUGCAGGCGAUACGGGCAUAACUUGAGUACUGUAGGGGAGACUGAAAUUCCUGGUGUAGCGGUGAAAUGCGCAGAUAUCAAGAGGAACACCGGUGGCGAAGGCGGGUCUCUGGGCAGUGACUGACGCUGAGGAGCGAAAGCAUGGGUAGCGAACAGGAUUAGAUACCCUGGUAGUCCAUGCCGUAAACGGUGGGCGCUAGGUGUAGGGGUCUUCCACGACUUCUGUGCCGUAGCUAACGCAUUAAGCGCCCCGCCUGGGGAGUACGGCCGCAAGGCUAAAACUCAAAGGAAUUGACGGGG
rnacentral:rRNA from 1 species